rnacentral:tRNA from 1 species
AGAAACUUAGGUUGACAUUAUAAACCAAGGGCCUUCAAAGUCCCUAUACAGGAGUAAAACCCCCUAGUCUCUG